UUAUCAAAGCUGCUUUGCUAGCUUCUCUCUUCUGUAGUUGUGUGUAGAAGUAUCAGUGUUUGCACAUAUAUAUAUACACAAAUACAAUAUACAUAUGAAGGUGGAAGCUAGUUAUGGGAGUUGCUUGUUAGAUUGAGAUAUUGGACUUGCAUUUACUUCCUCAUGUUCUGCAGGCAACCUACCGAUGUAACGAUGCAAUAACUAUGCCUGGCUAUUUACCUGAAGACAAAUACUUGUGUGUCUUAAGGUAUAGAUAUCUUAACCACAUGUUGCUUGUGGUUGGUUAUGGUUGGUCCAACUAGAUUAAUGACGACCUGCUAUCUGCUUGACUGGUUAUCUAAUUUAAAUCUCAGACUAACUCUCACUCUCUCACUAACGGUGUUAUUUUCGUCUCUCUCUAACAAUUUAAACUCUCUCUCUCUCUCUCUCUCAAACAAUUUAAACACCUUUGUCUCGUCGAUCUCUCUCUCUUGUCUCAUCGAUAUGUCAUUUUCUUAUCAAAAUUGAUCUCGUUGCAAGAAACUAAUUCCUCUUAUGCUCUCUCUUCUCACUCCUCUCACACAGUAGGUGAAUAUUCUAAUUUAAUUCAGUUCAAAGUCUACUAAUAUCAUGAGUUAAGUCUACCAGUAACAUGAGCAAACUGACUUACAAAAGUAGACUUUUUGGAAAAUUGUUCUUCAUAAGAUGCUCUCUUCUCACUCCUCUCACACAGUAGAUGAAUAUUCUAAUUCAAUUUAGUUCAAAGCCUACUAGUACCAUGAGUUAAGUCUACCGCUAGUAACAUAAGAUAACUAGCAUACAAAAAUAGAAUUUUUGGAAAAUUGUCCACUUCCGAUGCUGGUCACUUGUCAUCAAUCACCUUAUUGACUACGUUGUCUAACUUGUUUUCUUUUCUGCCUGCGUUUUGCACUAUUCGCCCAAUAGCAACAUACACAACUUGAAAUAGACGAAAUACACGCUCAUGGUAGCGUUUAGUGAAUUUUCAAACAUUGACUAUAUGCAGUGUUCUAAAACAAGCGGCAGCCUAGGUGGUUUUUAAACGCUUUAAGUCUACCUUUCAUCUUGAAAGCGCCUAGUGAAUUUUCAAACCUUACUUGUAUCGGGUUUUAAAUUGUAUAGUUUGUCGAUUCACCACUUUAAAAUGACUUAAAGCUGGCAAAAAAACUAGCUAGAUGUGUUGGAAACUUUAAAUUGAGUAUUAUCAUUCGAUCCAUAAUUUUUAAACAUAAGUAGUCGAAUUUCUUCUCAAUCCUCCGAUCUCCUUGAUUACACCUUGGACAAAGUUGGAUGACAUCUUUUACAUAGUAUCGAUAUCGUUCUCGCUUAAUCUGUUUGCAAAACUUCCUUGAAAUGUCUUCAAAUGAUCGAGAAGCAUGAAAUCACAAGUGGAUUUGGAGUUUUGGACAGUGAUGAUGAUCGUAUCAUGAAUCGCAAGUGCAUUUUUGUUCAAGGCGCUAGGGUUAGUGAUGAUAGUAUUGGAAACGUACGUUGUUCUUCCUUUUAGGGUUAUGAUUAGAUUGUUCUUUUGUGCUGGGAAUGUAAUAUUUCACAUUUGUAUGACUGAGGUAUAGUUAUCAGUCAGGAGUUGGGCAGUGCCAGUCUGCCAGUGCCAUCAAAACCCAAGAGAGAACCUGUGAAGCUGCAACAUUAGAUUCCAUCACAUGUACAGUCUACAGAUAACACCACAAAUAGAGAACGACGACCCAUCAUCAAAUCAUGUCUCUCUCGUCGUCUCUACUCUCUAACUCUUAUUUGAUUUGGCUUAUUAUUAGGGCACGUACCAAUUUAAUAUUAAGAGGCUCUUUUGGCAGUGGCAGGAAAGUGCUACCUCGUAAUUUUUGUCUUUACGACUUGUUAAUUGGAAAAGUAUGUAGAUAUAGGGAAGAUAGCGAGACCUGGGUUUGGCUGUUGGUCUCAGAAGGCUUAAGAAUGUAAGAUGAUGUUCGAUAGAGGCUCUACAGUUUCCCGACAAUUACAGCGCAAGACUCAGAGUUAAGACUGUUAAGGGACAAGGGUUUAGCACUUCAGCCGUUUUAGGUGACCCAAUUCUGAAAUCAUGAGGUAAAGGCCUGGCUUAAAUACCAGCCUAUGAAUUAUUUCGUUAAGAAAAUGGAGUUAUAUCCGAUGAAAUCAUUGACAAGACAACUUACAUUCAGGGACAAAGGUCAUCACAAAUAAUGCAGUUUUCAUACUAUGUUGCCGCACAUAAUCAAAUCAGACGACCUUUAUUUCAAUCUGUCCCAUGAGGAGGAGGAGGAGUCGAUUUCAUAACAAACCACCUCACAAGGCCAGGCAGUGCGCAUACCGGGAUCAAACUCGCUAAUUUCAGGCCAGAAAGCACAGCAGAAAAUAAAGUUAACAUGGGCCCAAUGACAAAGUCCAGGCCCAAGCACCAUCAAGCUCACGUCUUAUCAUCACUCAAAAAUCUCUCCUAUGUAAACUAUCUCCAAUAGAGCACCUGAAUUUGGUUUUUAACUAUAUCUGAUUAUUCUGAAGCAAAAUUCAACUUGAACAGGGUAGUUGAAUCAGAGCGCUGCAGUUGGGCUUGUCUGCUAGCUUUCUGGUCAAACAAUUGUAAGGCUACUAAUGCAGCUCACAACUGCAUGCUAUUUGUUACUUUAGGGCUUUAGGCAGUUGGAUUCUGUGUUUCCAACUCAAACAUAUUACCACAUACAUCGAUAAUUAAGGGUUAAAUUCCAAAAAUCUGGAAUGUAUAAUAAGUUGCAGCUCGGUUCAUUGCGAAUUUGAAUAUUUGUCGGUACCAGUUCAGUGAAAUUAAGCGGUUGUUGCAGUACUUGUAAUUUCAAUUUGCAAACGGAUUUGUGGUUAUGGUAUAGCUAGGCUGCUCUUUCUUUUGAAUACAAAGUCUUUUAAGUAAGUUGUUACCCGAAUGCAAAUUAAGGCGUGCAACACAAACUUUAGAAAUAAAAUGCACAUGAAAAUUUGUAUCAGAAACACACAUAUCAUGGAAUGAUCAUCCUGAAGAAUCUUCCUUGCUUAAAAGCUUAGAAGGUGAGAAACAAGAUCAUCAUGAUACCAAAUCCCAGAGUGAGACCGCCUUUGUUAAGCGAUGAAGCAGCUGAUGGUUCUGAGGAAGCCCCGGUUCGAGAGAUGGAAGUGGGAGAUUCAGUUGCAGGGAUGGUAACAGCGGUUGGCGUAGGACUGAAGGCAAGUUCUGGUGAUUGUGCUGCUGAGGGUGAGGCAGAAAAAGUGUCAGGAGCAAGAGAGGGGGCCAAAGGAGUGUCCGAGGAUGGCGGUAGGGUAGCCGAAGGAGAUCCUUGUGGAGCGAGGUUCACGGCUGGAGAAGCUGUUGGUGGAGGGGCAGAAGUAGUUGCAGGACUAGUGCAACUUCAAGCUUCAUUCCCUGGCUUCAAUGUCCGAUUGUUCCACAAAUGAAGUAUCUCUUCCCUGCAGAAGAGAGAGGGAUCGUAGUGCUGCCACCUCUGUAAGCCUGAAUUGAGUUGCUUCCUUGGCAACAAUCAUAGUCUGCCUUUGAUACCUCAAGCACAUUAUGGCUAGGCGAGUACAGAAAAUCUGCGUCCAACGCCACCAAGUCAGAAAUAUUUUUUCUUAAUUUCUCGUAGAAUGUUUUUUCCAAUGAUAUUGGAUGAUUGAUUACACUAUUGUACAGUUUUAUCUGGAAAAUCAAAAUUCGAGGAAUCAUCACUAUAAUUAAAUAUGUUAUGUUGUUCGUCGAUCGUCAUCUAUUAUGUACGUAUGUGGUAGAAGGUAACUUACUUAUAUUAUCUCCGACUAAGAAUGUUUGCGACGACGCCCAUGUUUGCAGGUCGGUAGAUGCAUCCCACCCGCCAUUUGGACCACCAACUGUGUAAGUCGCUGCCGCGGCCAAUUCAACCAGCACAUUCAUCAUAACAAAGCUCAUCAAUAUUGUCCUUGUAGGCACAACAAUAUUUUCCUUCAAUUAGUGAAACAAAAUGAGGGAGGAAAUCAGAAUGAACAAUGCAGACUCGGACACAAAGAUGUAACUUAUAAGUAGGUUGAAUAGGAACUUGAAAUUAAUAUAUAGAGAAGAACUAGGGAUGAUAUAUAAUACUAGUUUAUGGUUUAGUUGUUUGAGUUGGUUGAUCAGUAUCAUGACAGGUUGUUUGAUCAUGGAUUUGUUGGAGGAAUUACUUGAAGCGCAUACACUCAACGCAUGUUAUAUAGUUAAUUAGUGUUCAUCAUCUUCUUAAUUUAUUUUGUAAACGAUAAAGUAUUAAGCUUACUGUGGCGAAGAACUCAGUAGUAUAUUAUUGGAUCAUAAACAAGAGGAGGUAGAAUGGUCCAAAAGGGAGUGGUUCAUGAUCGACAUGCAUGUGAAAAGCAGAGGGUCACUUAUUGUUCAUGUCUAGUAGGUGAAUAUAUAUACCUAAUCUGAUAAUCUAACCCACGUCUGGAAGGAUUAUUUGUGUAAAGCAAGAGGCAAAGAAACUAUGGAGCUGUUAUGGAAGUGCAGGCACGACCGAGACUCCAAACUGCAGUUGACUCUUAGAACCUCNNNNNNNNNNNNNNNNNNNNUGAAAAGAAAUAAGGAUUAGUACAUAGGGUGAAGUCUGGUAAGACAGUCCAACACAUUAUGUUGUCAAAGACCCUAUUGUAUUUAUAUUAGAAUCUUCCAUUUUUUGUGAAAUGUACAUUAUACAAGUUUUUCGUUCGGAUUUAAAGUUUGACGACAUAAUACGUCACGUAUCACCUAACAUAAUAUGUUACAUCUAUACGAAUAUGAUAUAUACCUUGGAAGUGCCCAAAUCAUCUGUAAGUCGUGUUAUGAUGGAUGCCCAGUAUAUCAGUUGAUAGCUGCUUGGAUCUCCUUUUCAAAGUGGUAUGCUACUCCUAACCGCUGCAUCGAGUCUAUGAGCUUUAAAAUCGAACAAGCAUCGCCUUUAGUACUUGAUACAACCAAAGCUCUAGAAACAUUCUGCUUUAGACCCUCUAAUUGUGAGGCAUAUGAUUCAUGCUGCAACAAUAAUAACAAAAACAUAGAUGAAUUAACAGUUAGAAACGUCAGAUAGGUGAGUUCAAACACACUCUUAUUGUGUUGCCAGAGUAUGUGUCAACCAAAAUAAUAUGAGAAAAGAGUAAUGUACAGUGUAGUGAGUGGAGAAGGAAUCGAUGAGCUUGGGACCCCAAAUGGUAGGAUGAUAUUGAGCUAGUCGGCGUUGAUGAGCUACCGGAGGAUCAAUAACCUUGGCUGACGAGUUUGAGAGGGUGAAGGAGGAUUGCUUUGUUGCUGUUGUAUGAUGUACAUGCACCAGUGCCGGUGCUGGCAUUAGCAUUCUUAAAUAUCUAGUAGCCCUAGUGAGUUUUGUGAACAAGAUUGAGGGAGAGGAGGAGCAGAACAGAAGACUCAUUAUUGUUCCUUUGGAUUGAGGAUUUGAUUAGAAUCAGUGGAGCAGAGUUAGCUGCCUCGACCUGUUUUUAUACAAAAUUCUUUGUUCUUCUCGGGUGUGAAAUAGUUUACAACUGGGAACGUUCUCAACGUGAAACUCAAGUUCGUUAGGUGAUCGGAUAAAAGAUACCCAGAAAGAUACAAGACACCCAGAAAGAUACAAGACACCAGUGGAGAAUUAAUUUUAGUGGGUCUACAAUGCAAGACCAGACACCAAUGGAGAAUUAUUUUGAAGUGUGUCUAAAAGGCAUAGUGCAAAUGUGCAAAUGUGCAAUUGUAGUCUUGCGUGAGCAUCACCAGAAAAAGAAGAAAAAUCAAAGAGGUUCUGAGAGGUCAUUACGAUUGAGAUACUCUACAAUACUUUUAAGCAAUACCAUUAACAAUUAAGAACUACCAUCACAUGAUUCACAAGUCACAACACUGAUGACUUUCUCUGCCCAUUUUUUGAUCAACUAUAAUAUAUUAUAGUAAAUUGAUCUUCAUGUUCUAGUACUGAUAACUGAUCUAUCAGAGUACUUUGGGUCAUACAGUUAGCUACACAGUCACAAAUUUGUCAAUCCUUUUCGGCGACCUAUGAACUGAAGUACAUAUGAAGUCAGGGUUUUAUUGAAAAAUCAUCAUCUUAAAUAUCAAAUGCAAUGGGGCUAGCAAUUAAGGAGCAGAUGUAGAACCAAAGACGAACUAAUAAUUAUCACUGCUGGUAUCUCUGAUUCAGACAAUAUUACAAGUAUGUGCAAGUGAAGGUAAGAAACAUUUAGUAGCUUAUUCAAAAUCUCAGGUAAACAAACAUUUUCUCACAAGUAGAAUGUGUGAAGUACUGCUCGGCUUUCAUCCAAAGCUAGCUACGUCAUAUAAAUCAGCUAAGAAUGAAUGUUAUAACAGCAACUACUAUGGCAAAGGCCAAAGUUGUCUAGGGGGGGAUCAGCUCAAAGAGAAGCAGAAAUAUAUUCAUCAGGGCAGAACUACCAAGCUAAAGUUUAGUUCCACACCAAAACUGAAAAGCUGUUUAGGAGGGAGCACAGCUCAACAAGUAGCAGAAAUAUUCAACACAGAAGAACCAUCAAUAACAUUAAAGCCAGAAAAAGCUCAAAAUGGUAGAUUUGCCAAUUAAAACUGACAAGAGGGAGCUCAGCUCAACAAGUAGCAAACUUAUUCAACUGGGGAGAACCACAAUCAACAGUGAACACGACACACAAAAUAAUAUAGACAGAAACUGCACUUUAUGGCCUAAUAAAUGUGCCCAAGUUAUACUCGAGUAUCCUCAAACUUCUGAUAGAGGGCACAAUACUUUAUACAAACUUUAGCCAGCAGCAUAUUAGCUUCUGAAACAGAAGCCACAAGCAAAGAAAUACACUAGAUUUUGCCUGAAAAUUGAGCCAGCAAAUACAACACUAGAAUGACAAAGAAAGGCUAUCUAAGCAGCAUGGGACAUCUUUGCUAUCUUAAUUACUCAACAAGGGAUCUGUAACACAGGAAACCGCAUAGUGAAUGCUAAACAAAAUUUAAUCGGUUAAACUAGGUCACAUUCUACUCCUAUCCUGUUUUUCCAGAAGAAUUGAAACCCACCUUAAGGUUUAACAUGGAACACAUACAUGAGCCACAAAAUAUGGCAAAGCAAUAUAAGGCAGCGAGUUAUGUGAUCACACAUCCAAGUAUGGGACUAUAGGGUCCGAACGAUUGACACCCCUUUUGGAAGGGCAGAGAUCUUCCCAAGAGCAUAUUGGUCAUCUUAGGCUAGUAGCUCCUAUUUUCUACCCUGGAAUUAAGGAUUAGGACUACAAAUGACGGGCAAAUGAAGAGCACAAACCAGGUCAAAUAAUUAAAAGGAUAGCAAUAUCAUAUUAUCAAUGCACCACUAUAAUGUCAGGGAAAAUUACUUAGAAUAAAAUUAUAGAUAAAUAAGCCUCCAAUUCUCCAUGUAACAGAUGUAUUAUAGCAAAAAAGAAAGCUUGCAACCCAUGGAUUAAACAAAACAGUCCCUCCAUCAGAAGAAAACCAGGAAAACCAGUACUACUAAGUUUUCAGAUCAAAAUAUCAACAUAAACUCCACCAAAACCAUGAGUUACCUCCUCCAAGCAAGCCUUUAUUCCUUUCGAGACUUCAUCGAAUCCAAUAUAAACUUAGUCAUUUCAUGCUCUAAUGCAAGCUUCUUGGCAACCAACUCCAUCUCUGAGACCUGCAACUUCCUCCACCUAUCAUCUAACUCUUUGGCCUUUGAGCUCCCAAUUGAAGGCAUUCCAUGCAUCAAAACCAACUCCAAACCAUCCCACUUUCCAAACCGCAAAGAAUCUCUCAGGAAUGGGUACUUGGACCAAAACAAGUCAUCCGACUCAGCCUCCAUCCCGCCAUUAGCAACAUUAUUCAUCUCCGCCUUCUUCUCCACUUUCUUCUCAGCACUCUUCUCAGCAGGGACAUACGAAACAGGCAAUGCCAAGACCGGAGAAGCGCUGUUGUCAACAGCAACAGCCUUGGCACUCUUCCUCGGCUUCUUCUUACUGUUCUUCCCACCAUCACCACCCCCAUUAGCCUCAACCCCCCAAAUCUUGUUUGACAAAUCAACCAACUUCAGCUCAUGCGCUUUCGAAAACACAUUCUCGCCCUUGUCAGCAGCAUUGGGGAGGUAGUACUUCUUCUUCAGCCUCCUCGCCUUAUCCAUCAACUGGUUCUUGUUGACGUCAGCCUUCAGGCUCCUCCUCAAGAAUUCAUGAAACGCGCCCAUAUUGCUAGACGGGUCGGUCCCAUUCUUGGCCUUGAACUCAAUCAUCCCUUCCAAUAUCGCAAUCUCAUCAUCCUCGCCCCACAGCCGGCCAGCCUUCUUGGUCUCCUCAUCCUCGCCGCUGCCGUUGGAUCCCUUCUUCUUCUUCUUGGAGUCUUUCGGAUUGGGAUCGCUCUCCGCCGCGCGCUUCGCCGGAGCAGCUGUCUUCCUGGUGGGCUUGGCGGGGGAGUCGUUCAUGGGCUUGGAGACAAUGGGCUUGACGGUGAAAUCGGAAGCGGUUGGGGAGUGGGUCAUGGCGUCGGACUCGGUCUCGGAGCCGGCGUCGGAGGCAGAUUCCGAUUGAGGCUUCUUAUUAGCAGUCACAUUCUCCUCAUCGUCGUCUUCUUCUUCAUCCUCAUCAUCCUCCUCAUCACCAGAUUUUUCUUCUUCGUCCUCAACGACGUCGUUUUGUACCUCCUCCUCUUCUUCAUCCACGGUCUCGGCGUCGGAGUCUUCCUCCAUGGAGGAAGCAGCGGGAGGGUCUUCAAGGAGGCGCUUGGGAGCCAUAGGAGCGAAAAAGAGAGAUUCUUGAUAUCGGAGCAGAGAAUUCGAGGGGUUUCAAAUCAAGGUAUAGCUGCCAAAGAGAGUAUAGAGGCUUAUUUUAUAUAUGGAGAGGUUGGAGUAGGGUUUUGACCAGGAAUCUGGUGCCGUGUCUCAAACCUAUUGGAUUAUGCUCUCUCUGGUGUAUUUUGGGUCCAAUAAUGAAAAUCUAAUGUCCAAUAUUUUCCUAUUUUCCAAUCAAUAUUUUUUUUUUUUUUGGACAAUCAAUAUUUUUCUUGAAAAACCUAAUGCGGAUGGGUUUAAAUUUUAAUUUUCCGGAUGCAAUAGGAAAUUGGUGAAUUUCCAUUAAAAGCUUAAAUCCUUACAAAUUAGAUAGCUCAGAUUGAGAGGCGUCUACGAUAAGAUUAAGCCAUUUGGUGGACCAUGUUGGUCUAAAACCACAUUGCAAGUUAAACAAGACCAUGUGUUUUUUCUCUUCAUUCUUUUAUAUUGCUUCCAGUUUUUACUGCAUUGAUGAAAUGAUAUUAAGCGAACUGUCUUCUUGUAUCUCAUAUAGAACUAACAUUACGUAUCAGAUUAUAUGACACAACCAUGUCAUUAAAUGAAAAUUUAUGUGGUGUGUAUAUCACAUAAGCUAACACGUAAGAUUCUUGUAUUCCAUCUAGAACAGACGUUAUGUGUUAGCUUAUGUGACACAAUUAUGUCAUUAAACGAAAAGUUAUGUGGUGUAUAUAUCACAUAAGCUGACACAUGAGUUGCGCUUUUGAUGAGAUGUAAGAAGGUUUUUUUUUUUUAACACCUAGACCCGAUGACAAAUCCAAUGAGGGCCCGAUUAACCAACAAAACAUUGCAACUCCUCGCCUGACCACUUUUGACAAUGUCAAGGUUCAAACUUAAAUUGAGGACCAGCCAAGGCACAUCUAACUAGGUAAGAACUAGACUACCUUGUAAUGGUUGAUGAGAUGUAAAAAGAUAGUGCAUCUUCUAUCUGAUGAGUUCUAAACGCAAAUAUUUAUUGGUUCCUUGGUUGCUUAUCAAAUAAUGUCUUUGUCCACCAAAUAUUGAGUGUAAUGGGGUAUCUCAUGGUUACCGAACGUUGAUAUUCGAACACCUUGUGAUUAGACAUCAGGAGCAUUUCAUUGUUUACUGUUUAGUAGCAAAUCGAUCACACAUCACAAAGCAAUUUUCCAAAGGAAUAAGCAAAAUUAAAACCAGUAUUACAAUUCAUCACUUCCAACGAUAUACAAAUUCAAAAGCCAAAACUAGAUUCAUUUGGUUCGUAUGAGACUGUAAACAGUAAAUUGACAAGGGAUAGCAAAACAGUUUGUUAGUGUUGUUUCGGAAUUUACAUUUACAGUUCUUUCUGUACACUUGAAAAUUGAAAGACAAAAUUUGCCUACGGAGCUCUGGAAUCCCUCUUCAGGACUUCAGCCAGUAGUCUCUGUCGACACAAAUGAUCUUCGACGAACAAAUCUCAAAAAUGAAGUUUGUUUGCGCCUUGCCGGAUAGAAUCUCUGAAAUGGAUCAAUUGUGGGAGGUCCCAUCUGUUCAUCAGGUCAUCUGAAUAGUGAAUACCAGUAGAGAAGAAAACUUGGUGAUUACAUAGCUUGUAGUUAUGUACAUCACAAAAAGGGAAUUACUAGUGACUUCAACAACCACUAAUUGUCUUCUAAUAUACAAAACAAGUAUGACAGUUUCAUUCUGCCUAUAUAAUUUAUAGCACAAUUGCAUUACUUGACAUCAAAUUAAUUUGCUUGCACACAGAGCCAAAGCAUAUGUAAUAUUCAUAAAUUUAAACAAGGGAAACAUAUGCAUGCUUCCUUUUUCUAAAAACUCUGUUAUACCUAUUCAAAAUGGCAGCUCAUGAGUUAGCUCAAGCCUCAUCAUCUGAACUGAAAUCGUCCUCUAUUCGCAGUCCUGCAAUUGCUGGAAAGAGUCGUCGACCAAAAUCGCGAUCAAAAGAUGGGUUUCGACUUUCUGGCUGUUUUUCUGAACUUUCUUCUGUGGGAGCCUUAACUUUCUUUUCUGAACUUGCUUCUGUGGGAGCCUUGUCUUUCUUUUCUGAACUUGGUUCUAUGGGAGCCUUGUAUUUCUUCUCUGAGUUUGCUUCUGUGGGAACCUUGUCUUUCUUUUCUGAACCAUCUUCUGUGGGAGCCUUUUCUUUCUUUUCUGAACCAUCUUCUGUGGGAGGCUUUUCUUUCUUUUCUAAACUUGCUUCUUCCUUCUGCAGUUGUGACUGGUUUUCUGAACUUGCUUCUGCGGGAGCUUCUUUCUUGGAACUUGCUUCUGCAAGAGCAUGUUUCUUGGAACUUGCUUCUGCGAGAGCCUCUUUCCUGGAAUUCGUCUUCUUUUGCUUCAUUUCUUGCAUUCUGAUCUCAGCACAUACCUUGUUUAGUAUUACCAAGAAAUCACGUACGAUAGUAAACAAACGAAUACCUUCAUCCUUCAUUGCAUUCCCGUGAAAGUAAUCUGCUGUGUUCUUCACAAGAGUUGUUAUCCUCUUUUCUUCUUCCAGAAGAAAUGUAACUUCUCCUUCUGCACGCUCCAAAAAACUGGCUAGUGCCCGAUGGAACUCACUGUCUUCAUCCAGAUUGUUCUUCAAGUCGGUCUCUACAAAGUUUCGAGCUUUUAUUAGAUUUGUGCCAAGACUUGAAACUGUUGCAGUUAAGCUAUCAGCAUCUACAACUGCUGCCUUUCUCACAUCUUGAAGCUCAUCGCUUAAACCUGAGACAGCCUCAAGACCAAGGUUACGAUAGUGCUCUGCUGAUUCCUCACCAACUUCUUUAACAAACUCCUGUGUACUCAUAUGGGACAUGCUCUGGCCCGAUUCUCUGGCAUUGCGGGCAGCUUUCUUGCCCUCAUAACGGAUGAUCUCCUGAACGACAAAAUGCAAGAGAGUGGUCUUGCCAUCAGUUCCUUUAACAUCAGCCAGUUUCAAGAGCGUAUCAAGCCUAAACGCCAUUGCACCACCACGGUAAGUACCAUCAUUCAUUCGGUUGCCAGUUUUUAGUACAGCUUCCAAAAGUUUUAGGAAUAGCCUACUCUUCCUGAGUUUGUUGCAAGCAACCUGCCAAUAGAGACGAGGCUAUAUAGUUAGAUAAUACACCAUGAAAAAAUAAGUACUAAAGCGAUGCUUUUUUGUGAUUAUCAAAAAUAAAUACAGAACAUGAGUCACAUGACUAACUACUAAACUAGGAAUUUAUUGAAAAAAUACAGAAGAAGCUCUACUGUCUCACCUCUAAAGUUGCAAAGGAUUCUUUAGUGUUAGAGACCUCCUCUGUGAAGGAACACAUGAAGAGCAGUGCCUCUAUCCGCUUAAAUGCAAAUGGUAUGUCAACCAUGACUUUGAGGAACCGCUCUGCAGGGCCUAGUAGAGCAACAUCACCUGUGUAUAACCUAAGCUUCAGUUCCUCUUCUGAAGUUGGUGCCAUCUUCAGCAGGGUUUGGAGGAGCUCCACAGGAAGCUCGUUACCUGAUUCAGUGAAUACAUGUAAGUCGAUUAUGCGUUUAAACAUAAAAGACUCAAUUCUUAGGAGUACAAUACUAGUCGAUUAUCCAGGACAAGAUAAUAGUUAGGAGCUAAUAGUUAUCAAAAAUCAGUAUUCAUAGCGUUUAUUCUAGGUAACUUGAAAAUCAAGUUUUGUACAUAUAAUUAUUGAUUUUCCCAACAUUUCUUUAACAGAAAACAUAACAGACGUUCCCUUUCAAACCAAUAUAUCUAAGGUUACAGAAAAGUUGUUUUAAGGAGGAAUGGAUGAAAGGAGGUAAGGAAUAAGGGAGGGGGAGAUAGAUACAUCACCUUCUUGGAGGGCAUCAGCAACUUCUUCUGUUGUCACAUUCAAUGCUCGCAGAAGAAUUGAUAGAUUUUGUGAUUUCUUUCUGUCAAUAAUUUGGAUAUACUGGAUUGCAGGUUCCAUGGACGGUGAAUCCUUUCUGCGCUCACUUUGGUUCCCUGCAGCAUAACCAAAGAGAGACUCUAUCUUCUCCUCAUUGAACCUGGAGACAAUUUGGAAUGUUAAUUGGAGUUACCAAAAUUAGCUUAUCAGUUGAAAUUUAGGCUCACGAUAAUAGUCAUAGCCUUACUGGAAUGAUCCUGCUUUGAGUUCAUGCCAGACCAUCAAUUGAUCAGGGUUGGCAUUAACCUUAUCCCAGAAGAAUGGUUUUAAUUUGGUCUUUCCAGAAUCACUUCCAACAUCAGCAUCUCCAUCACUUGCUUUGCGGCUUCCUAGAGGCGGAAUUUGGGCCUUACCUAUACCAGGAAUGGGUUUAGGUGCAGCUUUGGGAGGUGGGGGUGGGCGAGGACGAGGAGGAGGAGGAGGUGGUGGUCCAGGAGGCGGAGGAGCUGCUUUUCCAGGAGGAGGUGGUAUUGAAGGGUUGGGUGGUCCUGUUGUAGCUUCUGACUUUGCCUCAGAAGAUUCAUUUCCAUUUCCGUUUCCAUUUUUCAUAGCCAAAUUUCCUACCUUUCCACCAGCAUUGAACUCUCUACUUGAACCUACACUAUUGGACACUUGUGAAGAACCUGCGGUGUUACAAAGAUUGUGACUUGCUUUAUAAUUUGAAGGUGAUCAUAAGUCAGAUAACAGAAAUCACAAAAUAGCAUACCAGCAGAAGAUAUAUAGAGAAGAGGCCUGUCAUCCUUCGGUCGUACAUAUCUCGGACCAACUUUUCUCCUCUUCCUUCUCCUUAUACAACAGCAGCAGACCGGCAGUACAACAACCACAAGUAUCACUGCUGAAGCCACAGAAAUUAAAAUUAUUUUGGUCAUACUCAUACUGUUAUCUGAUGGUGGACUUGAAGCACCUCCUUUCCCUCCCGGUUUGGCAGGUGGACUCCCCUUCCCAUUUUGUUUAAAAGGUGAACGUAAAGGUGCUGGUGUUUUUUUCGGAGCAGGGGAUGGUGCUUUCUUCUCCGGGGAACCACUGGCCAAAUAUCUUCUAGGAGCAAUUUCCGUACCUAAAAGCCACUCAAAGCAGUUGAUCAACCAGUUGUUGGGACUAUCCCUUUUGCCAGAAGCAUGAAACACAAUACCUUUCUUUCUUAAGCAAUCAACAAGUGCUUGUUUCACAUGAGGAGGAAGAACUAAAAUCGCAUUGUGUAUGUUGCUUUUCGAAGAAAAAACUGUUUCCGACUCGCUGGCUGCUUCAUGUGGAAUAUACAAGUCAAGAUCUUCCACCCCAUCUAUCCCACCUAUCAAUUCUCUCCUGCAAUGGUACCAUACCUGCUCUGCCUGCAAUCAAAUAUCUAGUCAAAUAGAUUUCAUGAUCAUGCAAUCGGAUAAGAAGUACAAAUUAUAAUGACUUCAAUAAAACAAUUACAAAAGCGUGCUUUCACUCUUUCAUUUGCUGCACCUUUCAUUUCUCACCCAGCCAAAAUGUGGUCAUGGCAAACAUACCAUGAUUCUUAGUUUCCUAUUUAAUAAUUAGUUCAUUCAAUCUUUGUCUGUCAACAUCAAUUGCAUCAUAUACCUUACAUGAACCUACUUCUAUGAGCCGUUGCCCCUUACCUUCACUAGAGCCUCCGGAAAACAUCAAAUGAUUAAUGAAGAGCAGGUUAAGGGAUAGCUUGGCGUUAUGUAGAACUAAGAACUUUCAAGUAACCAAAAAAAUCCAAAUCGAUCAAUUUCUUCAUGUAAUCAUCAAAGAACACAAACCAAGUCACCUAUGCACAAUUGUUUUCCCCAUUAGCAACCAAGGUCUCUACUCUCUACUUUCUUUCCAAAGAACACACAUCAGAAAGAAGAAACAAGUCUCUAAUAUCUCUAAUAUAUAUAAAUAAGUUGAAUCCCUAUUUUUGAAUCAUAGAUGUAACUAACCAAAAACAAAUUAUGCCCCCAUUCUUUUUCAUUACAUUGACAAAAUACUUCCACAAACAGAAUAAUCUUCCUAAUCGACAAAAUGGUUAUCAAACAGGUUCAACCUUCAAACUCAUAAUCCACACCUAUAUUUAUGAAAUGCAGAAAAAUUGUAGCACAUAAAUAUAUGAAAAAAGAAAACAAAAUUUCGAUCUUGCAUACCAUGUCUUCAUCUAUCUCGUCCUCAUGGGCAACCCAAUCGCCUCCGUAAAACGUCUCUUUGGUCCUCCUGACUCCCUCAGAGGCCCCAAUGACCAAAGCACAGAGCAGAAACACGAAAACUCCAUAACUCGCUCUUCUCAUUUGCAUUCCUUCCCAAAUCACCAUCCCACCUUUUCAUUUCAUCCUUCUUUUUUUCCCGCCAAACCAAAACAGAAACGUUUCGACGGCCCACUCUUCCAACCACGGCCGGGGCCGUCCAACAGAAACGUUUCGGAUGCGAGGUCCCGACGUUCUUCUUCAGCUCAAUCUGGGAACAACCCACGUUGAAGUUGUCAUGUGGGGAAGAACCAACAACAACAAUUUGAGAUCAAUGAGGGUUCAAUAUCAGAUAUGCUGCUCUGUUUUUGAAACGUGGAGGAGGAUGACACAUGCAAAGCCUUCAAGACCAACAUGCAAAUGAAUCAGAAGGCAGAGUGGUUGCAGAGCUCGGACCCAAGCAAACCCAGAAAACCGGCCGGAGAGAAAAACCCAGGAGGAUUUUUCUGUUGGAUUUUUUUUUUUUUGAAAAAAAAUGUGAUUUCUGUUACAGAGAUUUUCGUCUUAGGGAUGUUUCUUGAUUUUCGGGGGGUUUAAGAGGAGAGAGAAAGAGAAAGAGAAAGACAGAGAGUAAGGUAGACGUGCGGAGAACAAUGUGGGACGCCCAUGGUUGUCAUGGACUUUUUGGUCUUCUUCUUCCCUCCUAUUUCCAUCCUAGCUCUACAAUUUCUUUUCUUUUUAUUUUUAUUUUUUCUUUCAAAAAACGUGAUCUCAUGAUGUUUUGUCCCGAAAUUUAGUAAAUUUAGAGUUAUUUGAUAUUUGAUAGGAGCGAAACGUAGGGGGUAGGUGAUUGAUAAGUUUGGCCGAGCUUAGGGUUGUUUCUUCUAUAUGGAUUGCUUUUCUAAAUUUACUCUCCUAUAUGUAUGAUUUGUAGUAACCUCUGAGAUCCAAGCGUAAUAGCUCAUUGAGCUCAUUUUUUUUCUUCUUUGAGAUUUUGAUUGACGUCCACUCAUACUUAAUGAAACUGAAAACAAGAUAAAACGUAUGUUCAUACUUAUUUUAUAAAAAAACUCAUGAUCUUCCAGUUAAGCGGAAGAGUUAGAAUUUGAUAAAAUACCUUAUUAAUCAAAGUGAUUCCAAACUCCUAAUCUUCCAGUAACAUACCCUGGUAAUCAAAGUGACAAGCUUCAAAUAUGUGAUAACGUUUCUAUGCGAAACAGGCCAAUAACUCAUUCUAACGCUGUAAUUUGAAAGUUUACUUAAUUUUAGGCAUUGCUUACGAGGGUGGACAAAAAGAACAUGAGAAUCCAGCAUUGCGAUAAAGCAUGUAUAGCAGCAAUUUUAGGACUUCUUUCUGUAUCCUCUUAAAAAAAAAUGUAAAAUCCUCUCUUAAUCCUUCCCAUACAAAAGAGGGAAAAAAAAAAAAUGCAUGGAGAUGCGGGGUAUCGAUCCCCGUACCUCUCGCAUGCUAAGCGAGCGCUCUACCAUCUGAGCUACAUCCCCAUUAAUGUUGUUUGGUUCACAAAUUUUAUUGAUAAAUGGAUAACACCUAGAGACUUCAACUGAAACUGAAACACCCGCCACCUUCUAGUCUAAAUCUCUGCGCUCUUCUACACACACUGCCAUAGUCUUUGUGAAGCUUCACUCCUCCCAUGAUCUCAAUCCUCAAAUCAUGAUGAACGCCAAUCUCAACUUCAAACUCCUCACAAAAUCACUCUGCACCUCCACUCCCCAUUUCAAAGAUCAACUUCUCAUCCCACCCUUCACCUCUCUCCGAUGCGGAGCCAUUCUACAGUCCCUCACCAACACCAAGUCCCUCCCAAAAGGCCAGAAGCUCCACUCCCUCAUGGCCACUUCCGGCAACCUCCUCCACAACACCUACCUCACCACCAAACUCGCCGCUUUUUACGCCAAUUGCGGUCAAAUGCCCCAAGCCCACUUGCUUUUCGACUCUGUCUUGUUCAAAAAUUCAUUCUUGUGGAAUUUCAUGAUCAGGGGCUACGCUUGUAACGGGUUUGGACUCGAGUCGAUUGUAAUGUACCGUGAAAUGGUCAAUUUGGGUUCAAAGGGAGACAAUUUCACCUACCCAUUUGUUCUUAAAGCGUGUGGUGAUUUGUUGGCUGUGGAAAUCGGGAAGAGGGUUCAUGGUGAGGUGGUGGUUAGUGGGUUCGCUUCAAAUCUCUAUGUGGGCAAUGCCCUUCUUGCAAUGUACUCGAAAUUUGGGGAGAUGGGGUAUGCAUAUCAGGUGUUUGAUAAAAUGCCUGAGAGGGAUUUGACUACUUGGAACACGAUGGUUUCGGGGUAUGUGAGGAAUGGUGAUCCGAGGGAGGCGUUGGCGGUGUUUGAGAGGAUGGGGAGGUUUGGAGUGAGGGCGGAUGGGACGAGUUUGUUGGGAGUGGUUUCGGGUUGUGGUGAGUUGGUGGCGUUGAAGCUGGGGAAGGCGGUUCAUGCGUAUGUGGUUCUGAAUGGUGGUGAGGUGUGGAAUGAGUUUUUGAUGAAUGCGCUUAUUGAAAUGUAUUGGAAGUGCAGAUGUGUGGCGUAUUCGAGGAGGUUAUUUGAGAGGGUGGAAGUGAAGGAUACCGUGUCGUGGAAUACUAUGAUCAGAGGGUAUGAGAGGAGUGGUGAUGCUUUUGAAAGUUUAAGGCUUUUCUGUCUGAUGGUUGUGGAAGGUGUUGAGGUUGAUGAAGUGACGACUGUGACUGUGCUUACUAGUUGUGAUCAGAUCAGCGCCUUGCAAUUUGGAAUGUCUGUUCAUUCAUACCUUGUUAGGAAAGGGUUUGGUGCAAAUGUCAUGGUGGGAACUGCUCUAAUAGACAUGUAUUCUAAAUGUGGAAGUUUGUCUUGUUCGCGUCGUUUUUUUUAUGACAUGCCUAGAAAAAAUUUGGUUUCUUGGAGUGCUAUGAUUUCAGGAUAUGGAGCUCAUGGGAGGGGAGAAGAGGCUAUCUCUUGUUAUCAUGAACUCAUAGCAAACAAAUUUACUCCUGAUGAGGGGCUUCUUACUUCUGUUUUGACAGCGUGUAGUCAUGCAGGCCUAGUCAAUGAGGGUAAAGACAUGUUUAAUAGAAUGACCAGAGAAUAUAGAGUAAAGCCAACAGUUGCUCACUAUUCGUGUCUGGUGGAUCUUCUCGGCAGAGCAGGAUGCUUAGAUGAAGCAUAUGAACUCAUUAAGACUAUGGACGUAGAACCCAGCAGUGAUAUAUGGGCUGCACUUCUUUCUGCUUGCAGGCUACAUCGAAAUGUUAAACUGGCAGAGAUUUCAGCACAGAAGAUUUUUGAAAUGAACCCAAAAGGAGUGGGUAGUUACAUUUGUCUUUCCAAUAUCUAUGCUGCUGAGAAGCGAUGGGAUGAUGUUGAAAGAGUGAGAGCCAUGGUGAGAAAGAAGGGACUGAAGAAACCACCUGGCUGCACUUUUGUGGAGUUAGACAAGAUGGUUCAUCGGUUUCUAGUGGGGGAUAAAUCACACCCACAAACAGAAGACAUUUAUGCCAAGUUAAGAGACUUGAACCUGCGACUCAGGGAGGUUGGAUACAAGCCUGAUACCACUUCCGUGUUGUAUGAUGUAGAAGAGGAAGUAAAGGAGAAGAUGCUUUGGGAUCAUAGUGAGAGACUGGCAAUUGCAUUUGCCCUUAUUAACACAAGUCCAGGGACCACAAUCAGGAUCACCAAGAAUCUUCGUGUCUGUGUUGAUUGCCACACAGUAACGAAAAUGAUUUCUAAGUUUACAACUCGAGAGAUUAUAAUGCGAGAUAACCAUAGAUUCCACCAUUUUAGAGAUGGAAUUUGUUCUUGUGGUGAUUAUUGGUGACUGGUCUUUCUUCAUAAAUUAUUUGUACAUUCAUUGCUUGGGAUACACAGAUUCUUUUAUUCAGGGAGCAGACAUCUGGAAUUGCGGUGGCAUUGCGACUUUAUGCCAAUUUAUUGGUUAUCCAGAUCCAACAACUUGUUCAUGGAUGGUUGCUUCUUUUCCGACUUGGCUGGUUGUAUCACUUGAAUAAAGAUAGGAUUUUGCUUAUCAAAUAAGAAAGUAAACCACCACCACCACCGGUGACACUCAUAUCUGUUUCUUCAUCCCACGGGAAUGGCUCCACUGGUUUUGUUGCUUCCAGAAGAUCUUCAGUCGAGAACUUUGGUUUUGAACGCUCCAAGGGACCUAGGUGGUGGUUGUACUUUUUUGAGUCCUGACAGUAAUCCUGCAGAAAAGAAGUAGAAAUAACAUUAUGGAUAAAUCUGUUACCAUGAAAGAGCAUAUUCUGAAGGCACAUAUAUGAAGUUCAAGGUUACCUGAUCAGCAUGCAUCUUCUUUACAAAUGUCUUGAAUAUAUCGAAAUUCGUUUUUUGUAGAAGUUCAUCCACCAGACGGAGGUAAGUCACCCCAUACAUCCUUACUUUUGGUUGGCCAUCUCUGUUGAUACCAUUUGGUCUAGCAUUUAAAAGAAUUUGGUCAUAAGCCGCACUGUCGUACCUUGCAAGUGCAUUUUCACCUGCAACUUCUAUGUUCUCUCUCCAACCUCCACUCAAAACCUGCACAUGCAUGUUCAAAUUGUUGUUAUUAAGGUAUGCAGUUGUACUAUUUGAAUGCAUCAUAAUGAUAAUUUUAUUUUCUUAUGUUGAAAUUCGUUGUACACUUUACACCAGAAUAAAAAACCUAAACUAUUUUUCGUACUUUCUAUAUGUUUAAUUGAAGACUUCAUGCUUCAUGUUUAGUAAGACACAUAUUGAUAUGUUUUAGCUAGAGCUUCGGUUUCACUGGUAGUAUAACUUUAAUUGAAGGCAGGUGUUGAUAAACUUCUAGUUCUUGCCUGCUGAACAAGGUCUUGAGGCGCACUUUUGGCAUCAGCACUUUGUUCUGAGUUCCUCAUCUCUAAACAUGUAAAAUUCAAAAUGGCAUGAUGCCUUGACAGCAUCCUUGCUAUAGGUCGGUACCCAUCUCUAUCUUUCAAAUUAUAGUAUCCUGCAGUAAGCUCCGCAGCAUGAUUAUCAGUUUUAUACCACCAGUGGAUUCCAGAGACCUGUUUUGGUAUUCAAGCAUGAAUUUUUAAUCAACUGGUGAAUGUCUGAAUGAUGGUAAAUGGCUAAAUGCUGCUCAUAUGAAGUUUCUUACUUUUGCUGCUAGCUUUAAUUUGCAGCCCAGGAAAAUUUUGUUGGCUUCAUCCAGGAUGAGAUCACCAUGGCUCAGUAAUUUGUUAGAGUACCAAGUCAAAAAGAACUUCCCUUUCUCAGUAAGGUAUGUCCCUUUUGAUUUGAAGAACUCUGUAGAUUCAGGAGUGUCAUUGUAUUCUCCUGCAUUAUCUGGCAAAUCCCAUUCAGGAUGGCCAGCAUUUGUUGCAGCCUCUUUGAACUCUGCUUUGAGAUACCUGUCAUAGCACUGCAAUACGUGAUAGAUAAUACAUUUUCACUUAAAAUUAUUUGAUUAGGGCCAGGAUGAUAGAAUUGUCAAAUCAUUCAAAUCUGUCUCACCUGAAAUUCCCCAAUUCCUGGAAAAGCCCAUCCUUGAGUUUCCGGAUAAGAGGGAUAUCUGAGCUCUCCUGCAGGGCCAAGUCCCACUUCAAUGUCUAUAAUUAGUCCACUUUCUAGAAAAUCUGACAUGUUCUCUCUGAAGCUCUUCAAGUAGUCUCUAUAUAUCUGUAAUACAACGAUUAGUAUAUACCCGAGAAAAUUCUUCAACAAUGGAUAUUGAAAUAUUUGUCAUCUUUACCUCAACAGCAGUUCUUCCAUUAAAGAGAGGCAAGUUAUCCACACCUAAAGUGAGGUACUCCCGGUUCCUGUUACCUUUGAGAUUGGUAUAAAAGAUAUCAGGGUUCAAUUCUCCUAUAUCAAGUACCCAUUGGGGAAUGGGAAUGGUUACAAUAUCUCCUAUAUUCCCGCCACAUUGGUGAAAUGACAUUAUAGCUUGUAAUUUCAGUCCACAUUCUUGAACUGCUUGAAACAUGCUCCUAUAAGCACUCCAGUCAUAUUGUUUUGGCCCUUUUGAUUCUAUGAUCCCCCACCACACAUCUACCAUUACUCCAUCAACACCUGCUUCCUUCAGUUUUUGCAGCUGCUUCACGAGUGUGUCUUUGUCUUCUAAAACAUUAUCAAUUGUAACAACUCCCAACUGGUAUAAGUGAAUAUUUGUAGAAGUAUUAGCACUUUACUGGGUGAUGAACAUCACUUUGGACUAGUGUACUGCAUACACAAUUACACACACACACACGUGAAAUAAAAGGUUGUUUCCAACUUACAGGGAGCAUCACAAAGAUUGGCACAUAAUUUGCGAGCAUCUUCUCGUUGUAUGUGAGUGUAGGUGCAUCCUGCAUUGUAAAGAAAGAGGUUUAUGCUUGAUAUAUCUGUAAGGAUGGAUGUUGGAACUGGUACAACUUACUACUUGAGUCUGCUUCCUUUUAUAGUAUAGAUUAUAUAAAUAUCUUUUAUUUUGGUCGUUGAUUAUAUAAAUAUCUUGAUAAUGGAAACAAGGAAAAGAAAACUUCUUUAGCACCUUAUCUUUGCAUUAAAACAUGUUCAUGGGGUUUAUAUGUCUUAUAUCUGCCAUUCUUAUAUGCAUCCAUAUGGCCAUGAGGACCACUUCCAACUGCAUGUAUUUUUUUUUCUUAAAAUGUAUUUUUUUAUUUCAUUUAUUACUGUUUUAUACAAAUGUACAAAAUGACUAAGGCCAGUAAAGUCAUUUGGUUUCUACCAAUUAUUUAGCCACAUGCACGUUUUAGCCCAACAGCGGUUAGCUAUUUAAUGUUUUAAACAAAUGCUGCUAUGUCUGUUUUAGUCUCUCAGUCUCAGGCCAUCAGAUAUUCAUAGCAAAAUGAUUUACAGCAGAAGAUUGUAAUUGUGAGGCAGUUGCUUACCUGUCUUUGUGUGGUGGAAAUUUCAGAUGCCACAGCUCGAGGACUUGUGAUGAAUGUGGAAGCACUCUUAUUUGAUCUUUCCCUCCAUGCUUUAUUUGUUGCUUCUGCACUUCCAAGUAGAUUCUGGAAUGGUACAUCUCUGCACAAGUACCUUCCAUGAUGAAGCUUAGUUGUCGCUCCCAGAGUACCUAGAGUUGUGCUUGCCAUGGUGACACCACAAUGGCUUAUCUCCCUUCUUGCUUAUGGUCACUUUCAAGGUACAGGAACAACAAUGCUAUACUUGCUUGCCUAUUUCGGCCUAAAAGGGCCGAGAAAAAACUCCUCGAUCUUCUUCUGCUCUGAUCGCAAGGGAGCUAUUGCAUCCGCAGAACAAACGUGAACUAGUGCAAUUGGUUGUCUAACCGUACGGUCUAUCGUUUUUGCUUUCAGGUGUUUGAAGCCUCUGGAGGUGGUGGGAAUAUAUAUGUUUAUGGAAGUCAUCUUACCAGAGACCUCUGGUUCACUGGUUGGCAAGGGAAAGAGAAAGCAGUGGAUACGAAACGGGUAGACCUAUGCAACUCCACAUUGUUUUCUAGCCAUGCUUCUUAUGAUUAUUGUCAUCUUCCAAGUUUGAAGUCGUUUUCUUCUCUAUUUUUUGUGGACUGUACACUUCUCUGCUGAAGGACAAGAACAAGAAAAUGAAGAAAUGAACCAGAGGAAAAGGUGUAUUCAGAACCGUCAAAAAGACGGAAAUUUUUAUUUUGCAUUCUUUCGUUAAAGGACUGAUUACAUUCUCACCUUUCAUAUCACAUGACACUGUCGUUAGAAAAGCUCAACAUUCCAUCUUCAAAGCGACAUUUUAUUACACUGUUAACCGGGCUAGAACUUAGCUUUUUGUUAAAGUAUGUAAAUUGUCUUCUUUUUUUUUUUUUUUUCUUUUUUUUUUUUUAACUUAAACAGCCUGAUCAUUUACAAAGAGCUGUAAAAUUUUCAAAAACUGGAGGUCACAUUCUUUUCCUUUCUAAACUAUAUCAUUUCCAUCCUCUAUCAAGAAGAUAAGGCUUGGUGUCUAUUGCCUUCAUAUGGGCUUAGUGUCUUUUUUUCCCGUAAUUGGGCUUAGUUAUCCAAACUCAUUUAUAUUUUCUGAGUGUAUUGGAGGUUAGUGGACUAGAGUUAUGGAGCUUCUUGAAGACCAUGCUCCUUUUACUGAAGUAUCCUCAAAUAUGCAAUGUUUCAUCCAUUGCGGUUCAAUAAUUUUCCUCUAUUAUUUUUUUUUUCAAGACUCCAUCUAUCGCAUUUCUCUUCUGAAGCUCUCACUAUUGAAGGUGAUUCCAAGAUCCUGCUUAACGCCCUCAACGGGACCUCGUCUAUUCCUUGACGCAUCAAAUUGAUCCUUCAAGGUAUUUAGGAGCCGAGUAAGUUCACACACUAGUUUACCUCAGUCACUUUCUGUCAUGUUUGGCGUGAAACUAAUUUUAUUUGCUCAACGGGACCUUGUAUAUCCCUUGUCCACUCUUUACCUUCUUUUUCACAUUAUGUUUGGGUUCUCAGUUGCUCCUCUUUCCUCGAGCGUUGCCUUCCCGUUUGAUCUUUUUAGAGACUUGGUUGCUCUAGAAACCUGCUCACCGCUCAACUAGCGCCUAUAACAAGAUUUCAAACCAUGAACAAGAUUGAUCUUGUAAUUAUAACCACUUUGUGAAAAUUUAAAUGAGAAAUUACUAAGUUUCACCCUUCAAAAUAACAGCACCACCACCCUAGAGCCGACCCUACUUUCAAUUAUAGUGUUGGUGCAGAGACAGUUUGACUUUGUUUCAACCAACAAGGGUAAACAGGCUAUGAAAUGGAGUAAAAUGGUUAACGAAGCAUCAUAGCAAGAUUGUAUAUAAAGGGCAAACUUAGGGGUUGAUUGAAAACAAGUAAUCCUGGUCCAUUCCUAGGAAUGACCUGGCACUAUUAGCAGACAUGUUUAGCCGGCUCGACUACCAAUAUAUCCUCUUCAACGCCUUUACUUUACUAUACCCCCGGAUUUAACUCGCUUACAUGUCAAAGACUCAUUUUGAUACACCAGGAAAUUAGAGCAAUACCGAAAACGAUGAUUAAUCUAAAUAAUUCUUGACUAAAAUUUUUAUACUUCGGAGUACUAUAUAACUUUUGUCGGCUGUUCGCCAAACCGGAGUUGGAGCAUGAAAAUUACACGAACGGUGAACUAGUGAAUACCAUGAAGAAAGAAGGGCAUAGUGUUCAAAGUGAGUAUGCAAAAGAGCACCGCAGCUACUGGUCAGUUGGAGAAACAGCAAAUGAAAAUGAAUGCACUUGGCGUUGGCAAAUGGCAUGAACAAACUGCCCCCAAUCUAUGACUACUGCCCGUCACGUGCCCAACCCCAACAAGAGCUUACCCUCCUCUCUCUCUCUCUCUCUCUCUCUAAUCCUCUCUCCCAUUCUCCUCUCUCGUCUUCUUCACCGCCAUGAGAAGACGACGAAAAAGAACCAAACUUUAGAGACAGACCCAGCAGUCCCACCAUUCUUAGUUUCUUCUCUGCCAGUCUUCCAGACUUACCCUCUUCUGAUACAUUAGUUCAAACCCAGAAACAGAAACAGAAACAUAAACAAACCCAAAAAUGUGUUAUGUUGGCAAAGCUACAAAGAUCUUCAUCUUCGUGGUCACAGUUCUUGUUGUUGUUGGCCUCGUCUUGGGUUUCGGGAUUCUCCGCCAUGGCCUCCACGACAAGUCCCACAAAUGCUCCGGCGACUCCUGCAGCUCCUCCGACUCUUCCCCUCUCCAGUUUCCCUCCCCCACUUCUACCUCCGAUCCCAUUCUCACCCCACCUAACCCCACACUAAGCCCAUCUCCACCGAGCUCCACUCCCACCCCGCCCGCCUCAGAUUUCAGCCCACCUCCGCCGUCAACGUUCUCCACUCCGACCCCACCUCCGCCUGACCCGACUUCCAAUCCACCGCCGCCAAUCCCUGCUUCCAAUCCGCCACCGCCAAUAACUGCUUCCAAUCCGCCACCGCCGAUCGCUAUUUCCAAUCAGCCCCCGCCGCCGGUUACGUUGGCAGCGCCGCCGUACAGUCCGCCGAGUGAUGUACAAUCGACACCAGGUCCUGUCCAUGCUUAGCAGCUCAGAUUCUUACACAUUUGCCGCAAUUUUUUUUUACUUCUUUUUUCUAGUUAAAAGCAGCAGCCUUUGAAUUCUUUUGUUCUGAAAUUUUAUUCUUGGAUGGAUCGUGGAUGAUGGGUUGAGUUGAUUUGGUUAGUUUGUAUAUAGAAAUGUUGUUGUGAAUUUUGUAAUGGCGGAUUUGGAAGUAGGAAGAGCAUCUUUGUCACUCCCUUUAUGAGAGUUCAGUGUUCCUUCUCUGUACAGGGAAGUUGGUUUUUACAGUGAUGAAGUGUUUCGUCAAUUCCGAUGCUGGUCAAUUGUCAUCAAUCACCUCAUUGACUACGUUGUCUAACUUGUUUUCUUUUCUGCCUGCGUUUUGCACUAUUCGCUCAAUAACAACAUACACGACUUGAAACAGACGAAAUACACACUUGAAACAUACACGACUUGCACUAUUCGCUCAUUGUAGCGUUUAGGGAAUUUUCAAACCUUCACUAUAUACGGUCUAAAACAAGGCCGUUUAGGCCUGAUUAUAUAGUUUGUUGAUUCGUCAUUUUAAAAUAACUUAAAACUGACAAAAAAAACUAGCUAGAUGCGUUAGAAACUUUAAAUUGAGUAUUUUCAUGUUCGAUCCAUAAUUUUUAUACACUAGUAGUCGAAUUUCUUCUCAAUCCUCCGAUAUCCUUGAUUACACCUUGGAUAAAGUUGGAUGACAUCUUUUACAUAGUAUUGAUAUCGUUCUUACUUAAUCAGUUUGGACAACUUCUUUGAAAUGUCUUCAAAUGAUCGAGAAGCGCAUGAAAUCACAAGUGCAUUUGGAGUUUUGGACUGUGAUGAUGAUCGUAUCAUGAAUCGCAAGUGCAUUUUUGUUCAAAGGUUAGUGAUGAUAGUAUUGGAAACGUAGACGUUGUUCUUCCUUUUAAGGUUAUGAUUGGAUUUGUUCUUUUGUGCUGGGAAUGUAACAAUAUUUCACAUUUGUACGACUGCGGUAUAGUUAUCAGUCAGGAGUUGGGCAGUGCCAGUCUGCCAGUGCCAUCAAAACCCAAGAGAGAACCUGUAAAGCUGCAACAUUAGAUUCCAUCACAUGUACAGUCUACAGAUAACACCAAAUAACACAAGUAGGGAACGAUGACCCAUCAUCAGAUCAUGUCCCUCUCUUCUCUACUCUCUAAUUCUUAUUUGAUUUGGCUUAUUAUUAGGGCACGCACCAAAUUAAUAUUAAGAAGAGGCUCUUUUGUCUUUACGACUUGUUAAUUGGAAAAGUAUGUAGAUAUAGGGAAGAUAGCGAGACCUGGGUUUGGCUGUUGGUCUCAGAAGGCUUAAGAAUGUAAGAUGAUGUUCGAUAGAGGCUCUACAGUUUCCCGACAAUUACAGCGCAAGACUCUGAAUUAUUUCGUCAUGAAAAUGGAGUUAUAUCCGAUGAAAUUAUUGACAAGACAACUUACAUUCAAGGACAAUCAUUACAAAUAGUGCAGUUUUCAUACUAUGUUGCCGCACAUAAUCAAAUCCGGCGACCUUUUAUUUCAAUCUGUCCCCGGAGGAGGAGGAGGAGGAGGAGGAUUUCAUAACAAACAACCACCUCACAAGGCCAGGCAGUGCGCAUACCGGGAUCAAACUCACAUCGCCCUAUCCAAUAGUGAUAGGGGGCUUAUUUCAGGCAAGAAAGCACAGCAGAAAAAAAAAAAAAAAAGUUAACAUAGGCCCAAUGACAAAGUGCAGGCCCCAACACCAUCAAGCUCACCUCUUAUGAUCACUCUAAAAUCUCUCUUAUGUAAACUCUCUCCAAUAGAGCACCUGAAUUUGAUUUUUAGCUAUAUCUGAUUAUUCUGAAGCAAAAUUCAACUUGAACAGACUAGCUAUAUAUAGUUAUAUACAGCAGUUAAAUAGAACAAAACAGAGUAGUUGAAUCAGAGCGCUGCAGUUGGGCUUGUCUGCUAGCUUUCUGGUCAAACAAUGGUAAUGCAUCUCACUACUGCAUACUAUUUGUUACUUUAGGCAGUUGGGAUUCUGUGUUUCCAACUCAAACAUAUUACCACAUACAUCGAUAAUUAUGGGUUAAAAUUCAAAAAUCUGGAAUGUAUAAUAAGUUGCAGCUCGGUUCAUUGCGAAUUCGAAUGUUUGUCAGUACAGUACCUCUAGAAAGUUCAGUGAAAUUAAGCAGUUGUUGCAGUACAUGUAAUUUCAAUUUGCAAACGGAUUUGUGGUUAUUGUUCGUGGAUUGGUAUAGCUAGGCUGCUCUCUCUUUUGAAUACAAAGGCUUCUUAGUAAGUUGUUACCCGAAUGCGAAUUAAGGCGUGCAACACAAACUUUAGAAUUAAAAUGCACAUGAAAAUUUGUAUCAGAAACACAUCAUGGAAUGAUCAUCCUGAAGAAUCUUCCUUGCUUAAAAGCUUAGAAGGCGAGAAACAGAAUCAUCAUGAUACCAAAUCCCAGAGUGAGACCGCCUUUGUUAAGCGAUGAAGCAGCUGAUGGUUCUGAGGAAGCCCCGGUUCGAGAGAUGGAAGUGGGAGAUUCAGUUGCAGGGAUGGUAACAGCGGUUGGCGUAGGACUGAAGGCAAGUUCUGGUGAAUGUGCAGGUGAGGGUGAAGCAGCAGAAGUGUCUGGAGCAAGAGAGGAGGCCAAAGGAGUGUCCGAGGAAGGCGGUAGAGUAGCCGAAGGAGAUCCUUGUGGAGCGAGGUUCACGGCUGGAGAAGCUGUUGGUGGAGGGGCAGAAGUAGUUGCAGGACUAGUGCCAACUUCAAGCUUCAUUCCCUGGCUACAAUGUCCGAUUGUUCCACAAAUGAAGUAUCUCUUCCCUGCAGAAGAGAGAGGGAUAGUAGUGCUGCCACCACUGUAAGCCUGAAUUGAGUUGCUUCCUUGGCAAGAAUCAUAGUCUGCCUUUGAUACCUCAAGCACAUUAUGGCUAGGCGAGUACUGAAAAUCUGCGUCCAUUGCCACCAAGUCAGAAAUAUUUUUUCUUAAUUUCUUGUAGAAUGUUUUUUCCAAUGAUAUUGGAUGAUUGAUUACACUAUUGUACAGUUUUAUCUGGAAAAUCAAAAUUAGAGAAAACAUCACUAUAAAUAUGUUAUAUUGUUAGACUGUCAUCUAUUAUGUACGACGUAUGUGGUAGAAGGUAACUUACUUAGAUUAUCUCCGACUAAGAAUGUUUGCGACGACGCCCAUGUUUGCAGGUCGGUAGAUGCAUCCCACCCGCCAUUUGGACCACCAACUGUGUAAGUCGCUGCCGCGGCCAAUUCAACCAGCACAUUCAUCAUAACAAAGCUCAUCAAUAUUGUCCUUGUAGGCACAGCCAUAUUUUCCUUCAAUUAGUGAAACAAAAUGAGGGAGGAAAUCAGAAUGAACAAUGCAGACUCGGACACAAAGAUGUAACUUAUAAGUAGGUUGAAUAGGAACUUGAAAUUAAUAUAUAGAGAAGAACUAGGGACUUUACAGAGUGAUGAUAUAUAAUACUAGUUUAUGGUUUAGUUGUUUGAGUUGGUUGAUCAGUAUCAUGACAGGUUGUUUGAUCAUGGAUUUGUUGGAGGAAUUACUUGAAGCGCAUACACUCAACGCAUGUUAUAUAGUUAAUUAGUGUUCAUCAUCUUCUUAAUUUAUUUUGUAAACGAUAAAGUAUUAAGCUUACUGUGGCGAAGAACUCAGUAGUAUAUUAUUGGAUCAUAAACAAGAGGAGGUAGAAUGGUCCAAAAGGGAGUGGUUCAUGAUCGACAUGCAUGUGAAAAGCAGAGGGUCACUUAUUGUUCAUGUCUAGUAGGUGAAUAUAUAUACCUAAUCUGAUAAUCUAACCCACGUCUGGAAGGAUUAUUUGUGUAAAGCAAGAGGCAAAGAAACUAUGGAGCUGUUANNNNNNNNNNNNNNNNNNNNCCAUAGCCUAAGUUGUCCUAAGUAGGUUUUCUUUCUUUCUUAUUUAAAGAUCAUGGCAUUUUUUUUAUUUAUCUGUUAAAUGAAGGUAAUUCAUUCAAAGAAAAUUUUACUGAUAGAUUGUAACAAUAAAAUCAAUGCCAUAAUAUCAUGCAUGGGCCUAUCUUCUAGUGUCUGAUAAGAGAGCUAUGAACGGUACACCAUGAGACUGAAAAAUUGACCAUAGCAAUCAUGGAGACUCUAAGACCGAUACAGUGCCAACAAAUUAAAAAUGGUAGAAAUAGUGCCGGUAUACCAACCAGCUAAUGACUACAAACCCACAUACAUGUGCACAAAUCAACUCCGCGAGUGAGUGAACACUGCCGGAGCUACAUUAAGACCAAAAGCUGCCAUGACACUCUCAAACCUUUUGAAGAUGGUCAAUUACACUAUUAUUGUAAGACUAAAUAGUUACAAUUAUAUAUAAUUGUAAUGAUUUGGUCAUAUUUUCAUUUAAUAAUAUGUCACAUAAUAAUGAUUAGUUUGAUAUUUUAAACUAUAUAAUCUCUUUCCUCGUUGCAUCUUGUCAUAUUCAUCAUCAUAAUCGAUUAGUUAUUAACUAAUCAUUUUACAUGCAUGUAAACUUUGAAUAUAUAAUCAUUUACAUGUACAUAAAUGAAACUAUAUAUUAACAAAAAUAAUAAGUUCAAUUUUAAUUAACCACAUAAAUUUUGACAGACAAUUUAAAAUUUUAUAUAUAUAUUUUUUUGUAUUUUAUACUCAGCCCCUCUAAACUUACAGUUCUUGCUCCACCGUUGUGAGUGAAUACAUGUCAUUAUUCAUUAAGUGAAAUCUGACAUUGUGAUUAACUUUCUACAGAUCGGACAUGAUAUAAUAUUGAUGAGUUUCUAUAGGAUUCUAGCAUUGUAUGAUUGAAGAGCGGAGUUCAGCUAAUCAAUAAAUUUCUGGCAUAAGAAACUUAAUAGCUAGUUAUUACGGACUGGUAUUGGGCUACCAGGCUUUGAGCGAUAAUAAUGUAAAUGUGGUUGCGUGCCCUAAUGCUCACAGUGUAAAUUAGGUGAUGACUAUCUAUCACGAUAUUGUAACUAGGUAGCUGGAGAUUCAGAUCGAUGAGUUUGAUCUAUAUCUCUGGACAGAUGAAACCAGAACAGAAAAAAAAUCAAUGCGUGUUUACUGAAUCCAUGAGAAAGAUAAACUCUAGCUAUAUGCAGGUUUCCACUUGGUUAAGGCAUUUUUUUUUUUCAAUUACUUUAAGAAAGUGCAAAACUACAACAUACACCUCUAGGAUCUCCAUUUCCAACUGAUGAAAACGGNNNNNNNNNNNNNNNNNNNNAUUAAACAUAGUUACGGAUUUGUUAAAUAGAAAGGACGAUGCAUUUAGAUAUUAGCAAAUGUAUAUAAGAGAAGUUUAAUUACCAGUGCCCAAACUAAAUAAGGCAUUCCUCCUAUGAGAUAGAGCACAACUCCACAAGCAAUACAGUGAUAAGGGUAAGUGUAAUGAAGAAACUUAUAGAAGCUUUGUUUCUUCAAAUCUCCAACAUUGUAUAGUUUUCCAUCAUACUGCACAAUUUCAAAUUUAAUUAACAAUAAGUAUGUGUUAAUUCAACAACAAAAUUAUGCAUGUAAUUAAUCAAGUGAGGAGAACAUGAGAUUUCUACGUACACUCCCAAAACGUUUACGAAAAUCAAAAAUCCAGCCAAUAUGACUAAACCAGAAACCCUUAAGAGGAGUAUGAGGGUCACUCGGCGUGUCUGUAAACUGGUGAUGACUCCUGUGCGAGCUAACCCAUUCUAAUGGACUUCCCUGUAAUAUAAACACCAAAAUCCAACUUCAAAACUUUGUAAUGAAGAUUGUAGUAACUAAAAGUGUAAAGAAUGAAAGCUAGAGAAUAUAUGAUGAACCUGAAGUGAAUGAACGGCACAAUAGGCGAAGAAGUAUUCCAGCCAUUUGGGAAGCUUGAAGCUUUUGUGGGCGAGAUUUCUAUGGAAAGAUAGAGUUAUUCCCACACCGGUGACAAAGUAAAGGGCUACACCCAACCAAAACGCAGACCAGGUGAAGUAAAAUGGUGCGAGAAGAGCAAUGAGAUGAACAACAGAAAGGGUGAUGACACUAGCGAUGUCGACGCCAUUCCAUUGUCUCCCCAGAAAAUAUACAGGCUUCUGCACCACCCAAAGUAGCCUUGCCAUCUUCUUUAAGCUAAGCUUAUAUUAUCAAAGCUGCUUUGCUAGCUUCUCUCUUCUGUAGUUGUGUGUAGAAGUAUCAGUGUUUGCACAUAUAUAUACACAAAUACAAUAUACAUAUGAAGGGGGAAGCUAGUUAUGGGAGUUGCUUGUUAGAUUGAGAUAUUGGACUUGCAUUUACUUCCUCAUGUUCUGCAGGCAACCUACCGAUGUAACGAUGCAAUAACUAUGCCUGGCUAUUUACCUGAAGACAAAUACUUGUGUGUCUUAAGAUAUAGAUAUCUUAACCACAUGGUUGCUUGGAUCAUAAACAAGAGAAGGUAGAAUGGUCCAAAAGGGAGUGGUUCAUGAUCGACAUGCAUGUGAAAAGCAGAGGGUCACUUAUUGUUCAUGUCUAGUAGGUGAAUAUAUAUACCUAAUCUGAUAAUCUAACCCACGUCUGGAAGGAUUAUUUGUGUAAAGCAAGAGGCAAAGAAACUAUGGAGCUGUUAUGGAAGUGCAGGCACGACCGAGACUCCAAACUGCAGUUGACUAUUAGAACCUCAUGCAUGUUAGUUUGUUAAUUUCUGUACACUUAUAUUUGGCUUCAGCUCCAGAAAGUUUCUUCGAAUUUGUCCUCAAAGUUUUUAUUAUAUAAAAUUCGUUUGGAAAAAAAAGAAGUGGAUUAAAGUUAUGGUGGGUGGACUGAGCGAAGAUUUCAUGAAGAACAUUAGGCGUGGUAAAGUUCAACGUGCGAGGGGUAAAGAUUUUAUGAAGAAGUUGGACAUGGUAAACUUUCUUGCUCUUGCAAAUCUUGGUCACUCAACUAUUAUUGAUGACAGGGUUCAUAGGCUUAAUCUUUCAGUGUUGCCUACUUUUAACUAUGAUUUUCAUAGCUUAAGUUGUCCUUGGAGAAUUUCUUAUAUUUAUAUGGUAUUUUUGUUAUAUAUGAAAGUAAUUUAUUUAAAGAAAAUUUUACUAGUAUAAUGUAACAAUAAAAUCAAUGUCAUACCAUCAUGUAUGAACCUAUCUUCUAGUGUCGGACAACAGAGCUAUGAACUCUCCAGUACGUAAGAGACUAGAAAAUUGGUCAUAGCGAUCAUGGAGACUCUAAAACCGACACAAUGCCAAUAAAGAUGGUAGAAUAACGCCAGGAUAACAAAUGGCUAAUGGCUGCAAACACACGAAGGAUGAAGUAGACGAAGUGGCCUAAACCCUUAUAAACCUACAUGUAAGGUCUCAUAUUCCCAAUGUGGGAUUUAUAUCUCAACACGCCCCCGCACGCAUGUGUGGCGAAUCUUCAAGUCAUACACGUGGACAACUAUUUGGGUGAUGUGGUGUUUGUGUGGCCAUUAGGCUUCACACGUGGACGUGGGUAACCCACUCUGAUACCAUGAUAAAGUAGUCUAGGGUUCACAUCUAAAACCAAUUGGUAAUGGAUGAAGUCGGCUCAAACCCUUAUAAACCCACAGAUAAGGUCUCAUAUUUCCAAUGUGGGAUUGAUAUCUUAACAGUGUGGGAUUGAUAUCUCAACAGUACAUGUGCACAAAUAUUCAACUCCGCCCUCGUGAUGAGUGAAUACACAUGAUUAUUUAAGUGAAAUACGACAUUAUUAAUUAUCACCGGUGCAUUAUGAUUAACUUUCUACAGACUACAUGAUGUUGAUGAGUUUCUAUUGGAUUCUUGUAUGAUUGAAGAGCGGAGUUCAGCUAGUCAUUCAUUUUUGACAACACCAAUCGAUACAUUUCUAGCAUAAGAAAACUUAAUAGCUAGUUAUUGCGGACUGGGGCUAUCAGGCUUUGAGCAAUAAUAAUGUACAUGACUACAUGUGGUUGCGAGCAUGCUCACAGUGUUAAUUAGGUGACUAUUGUAUCACGAUAUUUAUUUUGGUUCUUGAUUGGGUAUGGUAUGUCUGAUGGCAUUGGUCCGAAGGACACAGAAGAAUGAGAUACGAAGGAGUCAUGCAACCCUUAAGCAGCGAUGACUCUAGAUUACUUAGAAGAUGUCCAGUUACUAGGUAGCUGGAAUUGACUUGAAUGAGUUUGAUCAGAAAAAAAAAAAAAUCAAUGCGAUCUUACUGAAUCCGUGAGAAAGAUAAACUCGAUCUUAUAUUGAUAAAAUCAUGUUGAACUUAUAUGGUUCAACACAGAAACAAAAGCAAUGUUGGAAUACAGAAAAUAGAUAUAUGUAGUACUCAUACACGCUUAGGUCUCCCUUGAAUCAUUUCACUUUGGUUUCGAACCUUCCCUCCUGCUCCAUGCUACUGACUUUGUUUGAUAAAGCUUUUCGGUUUUUCUGAAGCUCAGUCGGGAGUUUAACGUCAGUUGCCAAACCAACCAUUUUAAGAAACCUUAUCAAAUACCAAGUAAUAUCGAUUUGCCACCAUUCGAAACCAUGUUGAGCUGAGUACUCAAAAGCAUGGUGAUUAUUAUGCCAACCUUCUCCAUGAGCUAGCAAUCCAAACAACCUAAACCACACAAUUUCAUAAUUAGAUUUCAUUACAUGUAGAGAAACAGAAACUAUAUAUAUAUACGAUUUGUAAUCAUAUCAAGUGCGUAUACCAGUUGUUUUUGGACAGAUCACCAGUAUCCCAUACUUGGUUUCCCCAUAUGUGGCAGAUCGAAUUUAUCGAAAGUGUUAUAUGGAGAACAAAUAUUGUUCUCACAGCCUACAAAUAAUCAAAAGAAUUAAACAUAGUUACGGAUUUGUUAAAUAGAAAGGACGAUGCAUUUAGAUAUUAGCAAAUGUAUAUAAGAGAAGUUUAAUUACCAGUGCCCAAACUAAAUAAGGCAUUCCUCCUAUGCAAUAGAACACAACUCCACAAGCAAUACAGUGAAAAGGGUAAGUGUAAUGAAGAAACCUAUAGAAGCUUUGUUUCUUCAAAUCUCCAACAUUGUAUAGUUUUCCAUCAUACUGCACAAUUUCAAAUUUAAUUAACAAUAAGUACGUGUUAAUUCAACAACAAAAUUAGGCAUGUAAUUAAUCAAGUGAGGAGAACAUGAGAUUUCUACGUACACUCCCAAAACGUUUACGAAAAUCAAAAAUCCAGCCAAUAUGACUAAACCAGAAACCCUUAAGAGGAGUAUGAGGGUCACUCGGCGUGUCUGUAAACUGGUGAUGACUCCUGUGCGAGCUAACCCAUUCUAAUGGACUUCCCUGUAAUAUAAACACCAAAAACCAACUUCAAAACUUUGUAAUGAAGAUUGUAGUAACUAAAAGUGAAAAGAAUGAAAGCUAGAGAAUAUAUGAUGAACCUGAAGUGAAUGAACGGCACAAUAGGCGAAGAAGUAUUCCAGCCAUUUGGGAAGCUUGAAGCUUUUGUGGGCGAGAUUUCUAUGGAAAGAUAGAGUUACUCCCACACCGGUGACAAAGUAAAGGGCUACACCCAACCAAAACGCAGACCAGGUGAAGUAAAAUGGUGCGAGAAGAGCAAUGAGAUGAACAACAGAAAGGGUGAUGACACUAGCGAUGUCGACGCCAUUCCAUUGCCUGCCCAGAAAAUAUAUCGGCUUCUGCACCACCCAAGGUAGCCCUGCCAUCUUCUUUAAGCUAAGCUUAUAUUAUCAAAACUGCUUUGCUAGCUUCUCUCUUCUGUAGUUGUGUGUAGAAGUAUCACUGUUUGCACACACAUAUAUAUAUAUAUAUAUAUAUAUAUAUAUACACAUAUAUACUACUACUAUACUUACUUCUUCUACUCUACUACUCUCUCUCUCUCUCUCUCUCUCUCUCUCUCUCUCUCUCUCUCUCUCUCUCUCUCUCUCUCUAACUCAAACAAUUUGAAUACUUUUGUUUAGUCGAUCUCUCUCUCUCAUCUUAUCGAUAUGUCAUUUUCUUAUCAAAAUUGAUCUCGUUGCAAGAAACUAAUUCUUCUUAUAUGCUCAAUCUUCUCACUCCUCUCACAUAGUAGGUGAAUAUUCUAAUUCAAUUCAGUUCAAAGUCUACUAGUAUCAUGAGUUAAGUCUACCAGUAACAUGAGCAAAC
rnacentral:lncRNA from 1 species